rnacentral:rRNA from 1 species
UAGGGAAUCUUCGGCAAUGGGGGGAACCCUGACCGAGCAACGCCGCGUGAGUGAAGAAGGUUUUCGGAUCGUAAAGCCCUGUUGUUAAGGAAGAACGAGUGUGAGAAUGGAAAGUUCAUACUGUGACGGUACUUAACCAGAAAGGGACGGCUAACUACGUGCCAGCAGCCGCGGUAAUACGUAGGUCCCGAGCGUUGUCCGGAUUUAUUGGGCGUAAAGCGAGCGCAGGCGGUUAGAUAAGUCUGAAGUUAAAGGCAGUGGCUCAACCAUUGUAGGCUUUGGAAACUGUUUAACUUGAGUGCAGAAGGGGGGAGUGGAAUUCCAUGUGUAGCGGUGAAAUGCGUAGAUAUAUGGAGGAACACCGGUGGCGAAAGCGGCUCUCUGGUCUGUAACUGACGCUGAGGCUCGAAAGCGUGGGGAGCGAACAGG